UUUCCGUAGGUGAACCUGCGGAAGGAUCAUUCAUAAUAAAGUGUUUUAUGGCACUUUUUAAAAAUCCAUAUCCACCUUGUGUGCAAUGUUAGAUCUCGUCAAUCGUGGCGGGAUUUUUAUACAUCAACUCAUUCUUUAACUAAUUUGUCUGAAAAAUAUUAUGAAUACUUAAUUCAAAAUACAACUUUCAACAACGGAUCUCUUGGCUCUC
rnacentral:misc_RNA from 1 species